UACGUAGGGUCCGAGCGUUGUCCGGAAUUACUGGGCGUAAAGAGCUCGUAGGUGGUUUGUCGCGUUGUUCGUGAAAACUCACAGCUUAACUGUGGGCGUGCGGGCGAUACGGGCAGACUUGAGUACUGCAGGGGAGACUGGAAUUCCUGGUGUAGCGGUGGAAUGCGCAGAUAUCAGGAGGAACACCGGUGGCGAAGGCGGGUCUCUGGGCAGUAACUGACGCUGGAGGAGCGAAAGCCGUGGGGAGCGAACAGG
rnacentral:rRNA from 1 species